AUGUGACGUCGUCUUUGAAAACCGGUCCAGAUGCGGCAUGACGUAAUAUCGAGAAACGACGUUUAAAGUUGCGCCAAGUUUACGCGCGCAGCUUUCUUACACAUGUUUUAAUUAGCAAAAGUUUGACCGUUUAAGUACGACUGAUUGUUACAUGAUUGAUGACAGCCUACUACAGAAAGAAUAUUUAGACAUCAGACCUGUAAGAAAAUAGUGGUAUUACGCCUGAGGCAAAAAUAAUUUCGUUGAAAAUCAGUUGUUUCCCCUUCGCUAUGUUUCCGGUUUCGGAUUUUAACAGUAAAACAGGGAAGCAUGUGAUGUUUACUUUUGUCUAACUACCUUUUGUUUAACGAUGAAGGGAUCUGAGACUUGUAAUACUGUUUACUGAUUUGAUGAUAUUCCUUGUUCCUUUGAUGGUUCAUUCCACUAUACAGCUGUUUCAUAUAACAUACAACAGCCAGGAAAUUGGUCUGUUUACUUUAAGAUCCCAAGAAAAUGUAACAUAUUUUGGAUGUGCUUUGAGGAAUCAGGAAUGCAAGUGUUUCCUCUUGUUUUUGAAGCAACUCAGUUGGUUAAGGGCAGACAACUUGUGAGCAUGGUACAUCACUACCUGUAUUGGUAUUCCAUUUUGACAAUGUUACUAGCUAGAAUAGAAAUAACAUCUUGCUGUGGUACAGUCUGUGGAGACUUUUACUAGGAUAUCAGAGAUCGAUUGAAUAUUCAACAAUGAUCACAGACCAUGAAAAGUUUGAAUCUGACUUGCACUUUUGAAUUUAGAAGACUCUGUGGAGGAGGUUGAAUGCUGAGACCUUUAAUAAUACAUGAUAUUGCUGACACAGUGUGUCAGUCAUGAAAGAAAGGCCAUAACACUGCACAGUUGGUCAACAAUGAUUUAAAUCCUGUCACAUUCUUCCAGUGAAGAAAUAUCUUAUCACAAUAUUUUAAACUUUUGAAGAAGAUAACCCAGUAUUACCACUUUAUCAUGUCUGCAGAAACACAUGGAUUGUUAGUGUUAAAAGUGACAGUCCAGUUAACUUACUUAAAUCUACUCCCCCUUGCCAAACGAAUAUUAUUGACAUGGAAUGACACAAGCCUGACAAUGGUACCUGUAUGGACUCGUAAGAGAAUAGUAUUUGUCUGAAAAGACAAAGGAUUCUGUUUGUCCCAAACCACUUCAAUUGAAAACUGAAAUUGUGAUUGGCGAUGAUUUUUCUGAGAACUGAAAAAAGGAAGUGAAUGUAAAAGAUAGAAAUUGUUGUUGAAUUCAAACAUUUUAAUACACAGCACUUUAGCCUGUUUUGCUGUUCAUAUAUGUUAAGGUUAAACAUCAAGUAAAGGUUGUAGUUUCAGUUACCAACAUUAAAGUAUUGGCUGGAAAUAAAUAUCUACUUUUCAUCAGAGUUUGUAGCAGUGUAACCUUCAUCAAAAGUUAAGCUGUUGUGUUAAUUAUUAAAGUAUUUUUAGAAAAAGGAAUUUAAUAUGUAUGUUGCCAUGGUUACAUAAUUCAAAUUAUAUUUCAUUGAAAUUAUGGAUUUGUAUUUCAAUAAGUGAUCUACAGUAUAUAAUGUAAUGGUAAAAGAAUGUUCACUUUUUUGUAUUGUAAGUUAUAACUAGCCAGUGAAAAAACAGAUUAUGAGGAAAGGGAUGACUAAAAUGUUUAUUCUUACAUAACUACUUUUGUUACAGAACAUGGCUGUUUUAAAGUUUUUAUGUGAAAUUUUCAGAUUUCUUUCCUGAAUACUUAUACUUUCAAAUAUUUAACUUACUAGAAAUACUUCUUUGAAAUAAGCAGUAUUAUUGUAGGAAAAGGAAAUUUAAAACAUAUGUCGCCAUGGUAACACAAUUUUCCUAGAAAAUAUGGAAAAAUUUUAAUUAGCUGUACUUUCUAGUAUUCUACUUUAAAAUAAGCAUAAACAAUAAAAAAAAUCAAUAGUAAUAUAUGUUUCAUUUACUUCAAAAUAGUUAUUUAUUACAAGCAGGUAAAAGGCAAGUUAUGAAGAAACAAUGACAGAAAUGUCUUAUUCUUAUAGUUAUUACCCAUGUUACAAAAACUGUCAUAAAACCAAACAUCCUUAAUAUUUUCAUGGGAAAUUUUCAGUUUAUUUUUGUAAAUACAUAAUGCCUUAAAAUAUUUUACUUUUUAAAAUCCUUAUUUCAAGCUAACAUGUUUUUUUUAAGGUUUUGUCAUAGAAAAGGGAUUUUAAUAUAUUUGUUGCCAUGGUAACACAAUUUUAGAAAUAUUUUUAUAGAAAUUGUUGUAGAUUUUAAUUGAUUAUCAUUUUGUGUAUUAAGAAUGGGAUCUUACUUAUAUCAUGCAAUUGUAACAAAAGAUAAAUUUAUUUCAGAACUGUUAACCAUUACCAGUAUGUGAGAAAUAAACUAGAAAGAAAGGAUAA